CAGCAGUGGGGAAUAUUGCACAAUGGGGGAAACCCUGAUGCAGCCAUGCCGCGUGUGUGAAGAAGGCCUUCGGGUUGUAAAGCACUUUCAGUAGGGAGGAAGGUAGUGUAGUUAACACCUGCAUUAUUUGACGUUACCUACAGAAGAAGCACCGGCUAACUCCGUGCCAGCAGCCGCGGUAAUACGGAGGGUGCGAGCGUUAAUCGGAAUUACUGGGCGUAAAGCGCAUGCAGGCGGCCUGUUAAGUCAGAUGUGAAAGCCCGGGGCUUAACCUCGGAAUUGCAUUUGAAACUAGGCAGGCUAGAGUCUUGUAGAGGGGGGUAGGAAUUUCAGGUGUAGCGGUGAAAUAGCGUAGAGAUCUGAAGGAAUACCAGUGGCGAAGGCGGCCCCCUGGACAAAGACUGACGCUCAGAUGCGAAAGCGUGGGGAGCAAACAGGAUUAGAUACCCUGGUAG
rnacentral:rRNA from 1 species